rnacentral:rRNA from 1 species
CGAUUCUGGCUCAGGAUGAACGCUGGCGGCGUGCCUAACACAUGCAAGUCGAACGGAGGUAAUUAAGCGGAAGUCUUCGGGAAUGGAAGCUUACGACGACUACUAGUGGCGGACGGGUGAGUAACGCGUGGGCAACCUGCCCUGUACCGGGGGGAUAACACUUAGAAAUAGGUGCUAAUACCGCAUAAGCGCACGGUCUCGCAUGAGACAGUGUGAAAAACUCCGGUGGUACAGGAUGGACCCGCGUCUGAUUAGCUAGUUGGUGGGGUAGAGGCCUACCAAGGCGACGAUCAGUAGCCGGCCUGAGAGGGUGACCGGCCACAUUGGGACUGAGACACGGCCCAAACUCCUACGGGAGGCAGCAGUGGGGAAUAUUGCACAAUGGGGGAAACCCUGAUGCCAGCGACGCCGCGUGAGUGAAGAAGUAUUUCGGUAUGUAAAGCUCUAUCAGCAGGGAAGAAAAUGACGGUACCUGACUAAGAAGCCCCGGCUAACUACGUGCCAGCAGCGGC